rnacentral:rRNA from 1 species
GGAUGAGCUGUGGAUAGGGGUGAAAGGCUAAACAAACUUGGAGAUAGCUGGUUCUCUCCGAAAACUAUUUAGGUAGUGCCUCAAGUAUUACCUGCGGGGGUAGAGCACUGUUUUGGCUAGGGGGUCAUGGCGACUUACCAAACCAAGGCAAACUCCGAAUACCGCAGAGUACAGCUUGGGAGACAGAGCACCGGGUGCUAACGUCCGGACUCAAGAGGGAAACAACCCAGACCGCCAGCUAAGGUCCCUAAAAUUGGCUAAGUGGGAAACGAAGUGGGAAGGCUAAAACAGUCAGGAUGUUGGCUUAGAAGCAGCCAUCAUUUAAAGAAAGCGUAAUAGCUCACUGAUCGAGUCGUCCUGCGCGGAAGAUGUAACGGGGCUAAGCCAGUUACCGAAGCUGCGGAUUUGCAAUUUAUUGCAAGUGGUAGGAGAGCGUUCUGUAAGCCUGUGAAGGUGUCUUGUGAAGGAUGCUGGAGGUAUCAGAAGUGCGAAUGCUGACAUGAGUAGCGUUAAAGGGGGUGAAAAGCCCCCUCGCCGUAAGCGCAAGGUUUCCUACGCAACGUUCAUCGGCGUAGGGUGAGUCGGCCCCUAAGGUGAGGCAGAGAUGCGUAGCUGAUGGGAAACAGGUUAAUAUUCCUGUACCGAUUACAAGUGCGAUGUGGGGACGGAGAAGGUUAGCUCAGCCAACUGUUGGAUAUGUUGGUUCAAGCCUGUAGUCAUGCCUGGUAGGCAAAUCCGCCGGGCUAAGAUGAGGGGUGAUAACGAGUGUGCUUGCACACGAAGUGAGUGAUACCCUGCUUCCAGGAAAAGCCACUAAGCUUCAGCUUGUAACGACCGUACCGCAAACCGACACUGGUGCGCGAGAUGAGUAUUCUAAGGCGCUUGAGAGAACUCUGGAGAAGGAACUCGGCAAAUUGACACCGUAACUUCGGGAGAAGGUGUGCCCUCAGUAGGUGAACCUGUACAAGGGGAGCCCAAAGGGGUUGCAAAGAAUAGGUGGCUGCGACUGUUUAUUAAAAACACAGCACUCUGCAAACACGAAAGUGGACGUAUAGGGUGUGACGCCUGCCCGGUGCCGGAAGGUUAAAUGAUGGGGUGCAAGCUCUUGAUUGAAGCCCCGGUAAACGGCGGCCGUAACUAUAACGGUCCUAAGGUAGCGAAAUUCCUUGUCGGGU